rnacentral:rRNA from 1 species
CCUACGGGUGGCUGCAGUGGGGAAUAUUGGACAAUGGGCGAAAGCCUGAUCCAGCCAUGCCGCGUGUGUGAAGAAGGCCUUCGGGUUGUAAAGCACUUUCAGUGGGGAAGAAAGCCUUGGGGCUAAUACCCUCGAGGAAGGACAUCACCCACAGAAGAAGCACCGGCUAACUCCGUGCCAGCAGCCGCGGUAAUACGGAGGGUGCGAGCGUUAAUCGGAAUCACUGGGCGUAAAGCGCGCGUAGGCGGUCUGAUAAGCCGGUUGUGAAAGCCCCGGGCUCAACCUGGGAACGGCAUCCGGAACUGUCAGGCUAGAGUGCAGGAGAGGAAGGUAGAAUUCCCGGUGUAGCGGUGAAAUGCGUAGAGAUCGGGAGGAAUACCAGUGGCGAAGGCGGCCUUCUGGACUGACACUGACGCUGAGGUGCGAAAGCGUGGGUAGCAAACAGGACUAGAUACCCGAGUAGUC